rnacentral:lncRNA from 1 species
UCCAUGAUAGUUAAACUUCCUAAAAUUUUCUCAACAUACUAUAUUUAUGAUAGAAUUAUAAAUGUCACACAUCCUUGUAAGUUUGCGCUACAAUUCAUACUUGAUCCUCUUAUGCUUCACAUCAGAUUAGAUGUUUCAUUUUCCUUUACAUAAGUGUUAGUAUCAUAACAUAUAGUCAAUAAAACUAUAUCACAAACAAAAUGCACAGGUAAAGAAAAUUUCAGUGCAACCCGAAUCAAAUAUCAUAAACUCAAUGCAUAUACCAAAUGAUUUUC